CAAAUGAAUUGACGGGGACCCGGCACAAGCGGUGGAUGAUGUGGUUUAAUUCGAUGCAACGCGAAAACCUUACCACCUUUGACAUGUACGGAAGCCUUUAGAGAUAGAGGCGUGCUCGAAAGAGAGCCGUAACACAGGUGCUGCAUGGCUGUCGUCAGCUCGUGUCGUGAGAUGUUGGGUUAAGUCCCGCAACGAGCGCAACCCUUGUCAUUAGUUGCUACAUUCAGUUGGGCACUCUAAUGAGACUGCCGGUGACAAGCCGGAGGAAGGUGGGGAUGACGUCAAGUCCUCAUGGCCCUUAUAGGUGGGGCUACACACGUCAUACAAUGGCUGGUACAAAGGGUUGCCAACCCGCGAGGGGGAGCCAAUCCCAUAAAGCCAGUCGUAGUCCGGAUCGUAGUCUGCAACUCGACUACGUGAAGUCGGAAUCGCUAGUAAUCGUGGAUCAGAAUGUCACGGUGAAUACGUUCCCGGGUCUU
rnacentral:rRNA from 1 species